AGAGUUUGAUCCUGGCUCAGGACGAACGCUGGCGGCGUGCCUAAUACAUGCAAGUCGAGCGGAGCUUAUCCUUCGGGGUAAGCUUAGCGGCGGACGGGUGAGUAACACGUAGGCAACCUGCCCCUUAGUCUGGGAUAACUACCGGAAACGGUAGCUAAUACCGGAUAAUUUCUCUUUUCGCAUGAGAAGAGAAUGAAAGGCGGAGCAAUCUGCUGGUAAGGGAUGGGCCUGCGGCGCAUUAGCUAGUUGGUGGGGUAACGGCUCACCAAGGCGACGAUGCGUAGCCGACCUGAGAGGGUGAACGGCCACACUGGGACUGAGACACGGCCCAGACUCCUACGGGAGGCAGCAGUAGGGAAUCUUCCGCAAUGGGCGAAAGCCUGACGGAGCAACGCCGCGUGAGUGAUGAAGGUUUUCGGAUCGUAAAGCUCUGUUGCCAGGGAAGAACGUCCGGUAGAGUAACUGCUACCGGAGUGACGGUACCUGAGAAGAAAGCCCCGGCUAACUACGUGCCAGCAGCCGCGGUAAUACGUAGGGGGCAAGCGUUGUCCGGAAUUAUUGGGCGUAAAGCGCGCGCAGGCGGCUAUUUAAGUCUGGUGUUUAAACCUUGGGCUCAACCUGAGGUCGCACUGGAAACUGGGUGGCUUGAGUACAGAAGAGGAAAGUGGAAUUCCACGUGUAGCGGUGAAAUGCGUAGAGAUGUGGAGGAACACCAGUGGCGAAGGCGACUUUCUG
rnacentral:rRNA from 1 species